AGUGAACGCUGGCGGUAGGCCUAACACAUGCAAGUCGAACGGCAGCACAGUAAGAGCUUGCUCUUACGGGUGGCGAGUGGCGGACGGGUGAGGAAUACAUCGGAAUCUACUUUUUCGUGGGGGAUAACGUAGGGAAACUUACGCUAAUACCGCAUACGACCUACGGGUGAAGGCAGGGGAUCUUCGGACCUUGCGCGAUUGAAUGAGCCGAUGUCGGAUUAGCUAGUUGGCGGGGUAAAGGCCCACCAAGGCGACGAUCCGUAGCUGGUCUGAGAGGAUGAUCAGCCACACUGGAACUGAGACACGGUCCAGACUCCUACGGGAGGCAGCAGUGGGGAAUAUUGGACAAUGGGCGCAAGCCUGAUCCAGCCAUACCGCGUGGGUGAAGAAGGCCUUCGGGUUGUAAAGCCCUUUUGUUGGGAAAGAAAGGCAGCAGGUUAAUACCCCGCUGUUCUGACGGUACCCAAAGAAUAAGCACCGGCUAACUUCGUG
rnacentral:rRNA from 1 species